rnacentral:rRNA from 1 species
CCUACGGGUGUCAGCAGUGGGGAAUAUUGCACAAUGGGGGAAACCCUGAUGCAGCGACGCCGCGUGAGUGAAGAAGCGUUUCGGCGCGUAAAGCUCUGUCAGCGGGGAAGAAACACGGUUCGCGAGAGCCGCGGACGGUACCCGACCAAGAAGCACCGGCUAACUACGUGCCAGCAGCCGCGGUAAUACGUAGGGGGCAAGCGUUAUCCGGAUUCACUGGGUGUAAAGGGAGCGUAGACGGCGAGACAAGUCUGGAGUGAAAGGCAGGGGCACCACCCCGGGACUGCGCUGGAAACUUCCUGGCUGGAGUACAGGAGAGGUAAGUGGAAUUCCUAGUGUAGUGGUGAAAUGCGUAGAUAUUAGGAGGAACACCAGUGGCGAAGGCGGAUUACUGGACGAUAACUGACGGUGAGGCACGAAAGCGUGGGGAGCAAACAGGAUUAGAUACCCGAGUAGUC